rnacentral:rRNA from 1 species
AAGUCGUAACAAGGUCUCCGUUGGUGAACCAGCGGAGGGAUCAUUACAGAGUUGUAAAACUCCCAAACCAUUGUGAACCUACCUACAACCGUUGCUUCGGCGGGCGGCCCCGGGUCUCCCCGGGCGCCCCUCCGGCCCCUCGCGGGGGCCCGCCGGAGGUACGCAACCCUCUGUAUUUGCAUGGCCUCUCUGAGUCUCUGUACUGAAUAAGUCAAAACUUUCAACAACGGAUCUCUUGGUUCUGGCAUCGAUGAAGAACGCAGCGAAAUGCGAUAAGUAAUGUGAAUUGCAGAAUUCAGUGAAUCAUCGAAUCUUUGAACGCACAUUGCGCCCGCCAGUAUUCUGGCGGGCAUGCCUGUUCGAGCGUCAUUUCACCACUCAAGCCUCGCUUGGUAUUGGGCAACGCGGUCCGCCGCGUGCCUCAAAUCGACCGGCUGGGUCUUCUGUCCCCUAAGCGUUGUGGAAACUAUUCGCUAAAGGGUGCUCGGGAGGCUACGCCGUAAAACAAACCCAUUUCUAAGGUUGACCUCGGAUCAGGUAGGGAUACCCGCUGAACUUAA